rnacentral:rRNA from 1 species
GUAACAAGGUCUCCGUUGGUGAACCAGCGGAGGGAUCAUUACUGAGUUUACGCUCUACAACCCUUUGUGAACAUACCUAUAACUGUUGCUUCGGCGGGUAGGGUCCCCGUGACCCUCCCGGCCUCCCGCCCCCGGGCGGGUCGGCGCCCGCCGGAGGAUAACCAAACUCUGAUUUAACGACGUUUCUUCUGAGUGGUACAAGCAAAUAAUCAAAACUUUUAACAACGGAUCUCUUGGUUCUGGCAUCGAUGAAGAACGCAGCGAAAUGCGAUAAGUAAUGUGAAUUGCAGAAUUCAGUGAAUCAUCGAAUCUUUGAACGCACAUUGCGCCCGCCAGCAUUCUGGCGGGCAUGCCUGUUCGAGCGUCAUUUCAACCCUCAAGCUCUGCUUGGUGUUGGGGCCCUACAGCUGAUGUAGGCCCUCAAAGGUAGUGGCGGACCCUCCCGGAGCCUCCUUUGCGUAGUAACUUUACGUCUCGCACUGGGAUCCGGAGGGACUCUUGCCGUAAAACCCCCCAAUUUUCCAAAGGUUGACCUCGGAUCAGGUAGGAAUACCCGCUGAACUUAAGCAUAUCAAUA